rnacentral:rRNA from 1 species
CAGCCGCCGCGGUAAUGCGUAGGGGGCGAGCGUUGUCCGGAAUUACUGGGCGUAAAGGGCGCGCAGGCGGUUGGAUAAGUCACACGUGAAAGGCAUCGGCUUAACCGGUGAAAGUCGUGUGAAACUGUCCGACUUGAGUGCAGUAGAGGGAAGUGGAAUUCCUAGUGUAGCGGUGAUAUGCGUAGAUAUUAGGAGGAACACCAGUGGCGAAGGCGACUUUCUGGGCUGCAACUGACGCUGAGGCGCGAAAGCUGGGGGAGCGAACGGGAUUAGAUACCCCGGUAGUCCCAGCCGUAAACGAUGAUCACUAGGUGUGGGAGGUAUCGACCCCUCCUGUGCCGAAGCAAACGCAUUAAGUGAUCCGCCUGGGGAGUACGUCCGCAAGGAUAAAACUCAAAGGAAUUGACGGGGGCCCGCACAAGCGGUGGAGUAUGUGGUUUAAUUCGAUGCAACGCGAAGAACCUUACCAGGAUUUGACAUGUAAACAAAAGCAUAUGGAAACAUAUGUGUUCAUCUUCGGAUGAGGUUUACACAGGUGGUGCAUGGCC